CAGCCACCCUUUAAAGAAAGCGUAAUAGCUCACUAGUCGAGUCGGCCCGCGCGGAAGAUUUACCGGGGCUCAAACUGUUCACCGAAGCUACGGAUUCAGAGGACUGAUGACAGAUUACAGAAGACAGAUUAAUAUUCUUGAUAAUUUAUGCUUUAUAGCGGAUAGACUGUUUAUGAAUACAGAUAGACGUAGUAUUUCAGAUUUUAGCGAUUUGCAGAUUUGGCAAAAGGCUUAUACGGUUUCUUUGGAGAUUCAUCAUUUGGUUGAGGAUUUUCCGGCAUUUGAACGGUUUGAGUUAGGCCGGCAGAUGCGUAGAGCGAGUAAAGGCAUCUGUGCCAAUAUAGCUGAGGGCUAUGGCAAACAGCACCUUAGCAAAGCGGAAUUUAAACGCUUUUUGUUGAUGGCGAUUGGCAGUGCUGAUGAAAUGCGGGUAUGGUUGCGUUAUGCAAAUGAUUUAGGUUAUUUGCACAGCAGUGAGCAAUACCAUGACUUAUCACAACAAUAUCAAGCUAUCGCCAAAAUGCUCAACAGGUUGCAACAAAACUGGCAUUAAAAGUAAAUUAUCAAAGGUUGAAUAAUCUCUUCUGUCGUCCGUCAUCUGUCAUCAGUCCUCUGAGUGGUAGAGGAGCGUUCUGUAGGCUGUUGAAGUCAAGUCGAGAGGCUUGGUGGAGGUAUCAGAAGUGCGAAUGCUGACAUAAGUAACGAUAAAGGGAGUGAAAAACUCCCUCGCCGAAAACCCAAGGUUUCCUACGCAACGUUAAUCGGUAAGGCAAGGCAGAGAUGCGUAGUCGAUGGGAAACAGGUUAAUAUUCCUGUACUGACAAUAACUGCGAUGGGGGGACGGAGAAGGCUAAACCAGAACACAGUUUGGUUGUGUAUGUAAGUAUGUAGGCUGUAAACUUAGGCAAAUCCGGGUUUAUAAGGCUGAGAUACGAUGCCGACGGUCAUUGCGACUGGAGUGGUUGAUGCCCUGCUUCCAAGAAAAGCCUCUAAGCUUCAGGUUAUUGUUAACCGUACCCCAAACCGACACAGGUGGGUGGGAUGAGAAUUCUAA
rnacentral:rRNA from 1 species